UGUGGCAGAAUAGUGCAAUAAAUUUAAGCUUUAUUUAAAAAGUUAAUCUUUCUUUAGA
rnacentral:tRNA from 3 species